AAAAUAACUUUAUUUGUCACAUGUAUAUUGAAACAUCAAAACAUUCGAUGAAAUGCACCAGUUGUGUCAAGGAUGGACUUGGACCGACCCACAAGGGUCUCUCUGUUUCUAGUGGACAAAUUAAUACACCUGAUCUGUUAGUAAGUUUACAUCGAGGACACCUUCAAAAGGAGAUGCCUCAAGAAGGCAGCAUCCAUCAUUAAGGACACCCAUCACCCAGGACAUGCCCUCUUCUCGUUGAAGAAGUUUGAAGAAACAGGGAGAGCUUCUUCUACAGAUUUUCGAAUGGACAAUGAAUCCACGAACACAACCUCAGCAAUUUCCCUCUAUUUUUAUUUAAUUUAUAUAUAUAUUUCUGUUUGCAAUUUAUAGUUGUUUUAGAUAUAUAUAUAUCUUAAGGUAAUUUAUUGAUUUUUAUGAUUAUGUAUUGCUGUGUACCACCGCCAGAAAACAAUGAAUUUCACAGCCAAUGCAAGUGACAUUAAACCAGAUUUUAAUUCUGAUUCUGCUCACCGGUGGAACGUGGGAUGAAACCGGAGCACCUGGACGAAGCACGCUCAGUCGGAGCAGAACAGAAAUUCCUUAGAGACAGUAGUGGGAAUUGAACCCGUGUCUGGCACUGUAAUACCAGUAGACUAACCACUAGCUACCCUGCCGGUUUGCUGGGCGUAUUUAUGGCAGACUUUGAUAGCUUCUUGAUUGGACAUACCAUCAAAGAUUCAGGGAGAGGGCUGAGGAGUGGAGAAAAGGAUCGGCCAUGAUAGAAUGGCAGAGCAGACUCGAUGGGCCAAAUGGCCUAAUUCUGCUGCGAUGUCAUGGUGUUAUAGUCUUACCUUUGCUCAUAAAUCCAAUACACAGGUUGUUGGGACUCAAGGGACGGAAUUAUAGAGAGAGAUCGGUCAGAGACUGAGAUACGGGGAGAGGUUGGUCAGACUGAGUUACGGGGAGAGGUCGGUCAGACUGAGUUACGGGGAGAGGUCAGACAGAGACUGAGUUACGGGGAGAGAUCGGUCAGACUGAGUUACGGGGAGAGGUCGGUCAGACUGAGUUACGGGGAGAGGUCGGUCAGUGACUGAGUUACGGGCAGAGGUUGGUCAGACUGAGUUACGGGGAGAGGUUGGUCAGACUGAGUUACGGGGAGAGGUCGGUCAGAGACUGAGUUACGGGGAGAGUCGGUCAGUGACUGAGUUACGGGGAGAGGUCGGUCAGACUGAGUUACGGGGAGAGGUCGGUCAGUGACUGAGUUACGGGGAGAGGUCGGUCAGUGACUGAGUUACGGGGAGAGGUCGGUCAGAGACUGAGUUACGGGGAGAGGUCGGUCAGACUGAGUAACGGGGAGAGGUCGGUCAGUGACUGAGUUACGGGGAGAGGUCGGUCAGUGACUGAGUUACGGGGAGAGG